rnacentral:miRNA from 1 species
AUUGUUUCAUAUUGUAUUGUAUUU